UGGGGAAUUUUGCACAAUGGGGGAAACCCUGAUGCAGCGACGCCGCGUGAUUUAGAAGGCCUUCGGGUUGUAAAAAUCUUUUCUAUGGGAAGAAAAUGACAGUACCAUAGGAAUAAGGACCGGCUAAUUACGUGCCAGCAGCCGCGGUAAUACGUAAGGUCCGAGCGUUGUCCGGAAUCAUUGGGCGUAAAGGGUACGUAGGCGGGUAAGCAAGUUAGAAGUGAAAUCCUAUAGCUCAACUAUAGUAAGCUUUUAAAACUGCUCAUCUUGAGGUAUGGAAGGGAAAGUGGAAUUCCUAGUGUAGCGGUGAAAUGCGCAGAUAUUAGGAGGAAUACCGGUGGCGAAGGCGACUUUCUGGCCAUAACCUGACGCUGGGGUACGAAAGCGUGGGUAGCAAAAAGG
rnacentral:rRNA from 1 species